AGCUCCAAUAGCGUAUAUUAAAGUUGUUGCGGUUAAAAAGCUCGUAGUCGAAUUUCGGGCGGGGCAGUCCGGUCGGCCUUAAUGGUCUGUACUGGAAGUGCCGCGCCUUUCCUUCUAGGGAGUCGUUGUGCGCAAGCGCGGCGGCGGUCUAGAACUUUUACUUUGAAUAAAUUAGAGUGUUUAAGGCAGGCUUGUGCUUGAAUACAUUAGCAUGGAAUAAUAGAAUAGGACUUUGGUUCUAUUUUGUUGGUUAAAGGACCAAAGUAAUGAUUAACAGAAAUAGUUGGGGGCAUUAGUAUUCCGAGGCUAGAGGUGAAAUUCUUGGAUUCUCGGAAGACUAACUACUGCGAAAGCAUUUGUCAAGGAUGUUUUCAUUG
rnacentral:rRNA from 1 species